GCAGGAUAUGGUCACCGAGGCCGCACCUGCGGCCGCGUGAGGUGCAAGGGAACCCGGUGCGAAUCCGGGACUGACGCGCAACGGUGACUGCUCUGCCCGAGCAGGAGUCCGAUCGCUUGCUCCGCACGACGUACGUCC
rnacentral:ncRNA from 1 species